rnacentral:rRNA from 1 species
GAUGAACGCUGGCGGCGUGCUUAACACAUGCAAGUCGAACGGAAAGGCUCCUGCUUGCAGGGGUACUCGAGUGGCGAACGGGUGAGUAACACGUGGGUGAUCUGCCCUGCACCUCGGGAUAAGCCUGGGAAACUGGGUCUAAUACCGGAUAGGACCACAUUUUGGAUGGUGUGGUGGAAAGUUUUUCGGUGUGGGGUGAGCUCGCGGCCUAUCAGCUUGUUGGUGGGGUAAUGGCCUACCAAGGCGUCGACGGGUAGCCGGCCUGAGAGGGUGUACGGCCACAUUGGGACUGAGAUACGGCCCAGACUCCUACGGGAGGCAGCAGUGGGGAAUAUUGCACAAUGGGCGCAAGCCUGAUGCAGCGACGCCGCGUGGGGGAUGACGGCCUUCGGGUUGUAAACUCCUUUCGCUAGGGACGAAGCGCAAGUGACGGUACCUGGAGAAGAAGCACCGGCUAACUACGUG